rnacentral:hammerhead_ribozyme from 1 species
GCACUGCUGACGAGUCCCAAACAGGGCGAAGCAGCUGUCCAGUGC